rnacentral:rRNA from 1 species
UACGUAGGGUGCAAGCGUUGUCCGGAAUUAUUGGGCGUAAAGGGCUCGUAGGCGGUCCGUCACGUCGGGAGUGAAAACUUGGGGCUUAACCCCAAGCCUGCUUCCGAUACGGGCGGACUAGAGGUAGGCAGGGGAGAACGGAAUUCCUGGUGUAGCGGUGAAAUGCGCAGAUAUCAGGAGGAACACCGGUGGCGAAGGCGACAUCCUGGACCGGUAUUGACGCUGAGGCGCGAAAGCCAGGGGAGCAAACGGG